rnacentral:rRNA from 1 species
GACGAACGCUGGCGGCGGGCUUAACACAUGCAAGUCGAACGGAAAGGCCCUGCUUUUGUGGGGUGCUCGAGUGGCAAACGGGUGAGUAACACGGGAGUAACCUGCCCUUGACUUUGGGAUAACUUCAGGAAACUGGGGCUAAUACCGGAUAGGAGCUCCUGCUGCAUGGUGGGGGUUGGAAAGUUUCGGCGGUUGGGGAUGGACUCGCGGCUUAUCAGCUUGUUGGUGGGGUAGUGGCUUACCAAGGCUUUGACGGGUAGCCGGCCUGAGAGGGUGACCAGCCACAUUGGGACUGAGAUACGGCCCAGACUCCUACGGGAGGCAGCAGUGGGGAAUAUUGCACAAUGGGCGGAAGCGUGAUGCAGCAACGCCGCGUGCGGGAUGACGGCCUUCGGGUUGUAAACCGCUUUCGCCUGUGACGAAGCGUGAGUGACGGUAAUGGGUAAAGAAGCACCGGCUAACUACGUG